AUGGGGAACUUCGUGCCUGGAAUUGUAAGUAGAGUGGAUCAUUGUCAUCCAAGGAUAUCAAGCCAUCAAAUUGAGCCAUUGACCAUUUUGGCUUUCAGAGCUAUAUCAGAGCACAUAAGACGACGUAAAGUGUUUGAUCGAAAGCUGAUAGCAAACGGCCGGUUUCAACUGCUGAGCAUUCUGCUUUGUGGAGUAAUCCAUGCCAAGGGAAUAACAGGGGAAGAUCGAUGUAAACUGUGCUGCAUUCUCAUCUGUGGAGUUAUAUCUGACUACAUCCAUCAUGGACCAAUUGAUGCAAAGGAAUCAGCGAUUGAUCUGUUUGGAGACCUUCCAGAGGACGUGCUAUGCACAAUUUUUUCAAAGUUGCCUCUGGAAGAGGCUGUAAGAACCAGUGCCGUAUCAAGGAAAUGGAGAUACUUGUGGAUGCUUUGCUCUAAAUUGAAUUUCGAUGGAAAUACAGUAUGUGGAAAAAACAAUUAUGAGAAAAGAAUGUAUACUCUAAUGUUCACUCGCAUUGUUGAUAGGGUCCUGGAACAGUAUCGUGGCAAGUUGGUGGAAGAGCUUGCAAUCAAAAUUGAGUUGAACUGGAUGUUGGUUGAACAUCUUGAUAAUUGGGUUCGUUUUGCUGUAUCAUCGCGGACAAAGGCACUAGUUUUUGAUUUAGCACGAGAACAGCGUCAACCUCCAGGUUGUGUUGAUCGGUACAAAUUUCCAUUUGAGCUUUUAGACGAGGACAGUAUAUGCCGUCUACAGAAACUUCAUCUUAGCUUUGUAGAUUUCCAGCCACCGAUGCAUUUCAGUGGUUUCCCUAACCUAAGGAAGCUUGAUCUGAGCAUAGUGAGUGUCAAUGGGAAGGAUAUUCAACAUAUGUUGUCAAACUGUUGUAACCUAGAGUGGCUGAGUAUUGUUAGAUGCCAUCUCAAUGGUGAACUAAAGGUUAACGGCCCACUGCCCCACCUGCUAUACUUGAAAAUUGCUUCCUGCAGAUUAACAAAUAUAGCAUUCCAUGCCGUGAACCUUGAGACUUUCGAAUACAGAGGACUGGCGGUGCCUAUUGACCUCAGUAAAUCAUCGGAACUGAAAUGUGCAAACAUAUGGUAUUAUGGAGACACGCUCGAGCACACUAUUACUGUUCUUGCUAAUGUGCUUAUAAAUGUGCAACAUCUGACCCUCGAUACGGCCUGUGAACCUCCAAAGAUUCCCUGUUUGAUGCAUUACCGAUGCAAAUUUUCUCAGAUGACGCAUUUACAAUUGAGGUUGGUUUAUAUCGAAGAAUUCAAUAUAUUAUCUUUGGUCUCUUUUGUGAGGUCUGCUCCUUUCAUCAAGAAGUUAGAGCUGGACUUUCGUUUCCCUAGUUAUGUGCAUUCGGUACAAGAAUCUGAUGAACCUAUCAGGAAGCUACCGGAGCGUCUGUUCAAUAACUUAAAGAGUUUGUAUGUUACAGGAUUUAAAGCAUGCAUCGGUCAAGUUGAGUUCCUUUCACACAUGGUGGAAAAUUCCCCUGCACUGGAGAUUUUAAGUAUAGAUCAUUCAGACAAAUAUCCCCUAGAAGGCCAUGAAAGAGACACGAAAACGGUUGUUGACGUAGUCCAUAGAACUGCUAGAAGGUAUCUCGAAGGGAAGAUUUCGUCCAAGUGCACCCUAAUAUUACUUUAA
rnacentral:rRNA from 1 species